GGCGGACGUAGCCAAGUGGACCAAGGCAGCGGAUUGUGAAUCCACCAUGCGCGGGUUCAAUUCCCGUCGUUCGCC
rnacentral:tRNA from 1 species